rnacentral:rRNA from 1 species
GUUGACCUCGGAUCAGGUAGGGAUACCCGCUGAACUUAAGCAUAUCAAUAAGCGGAGGAAAAGAAACCAACAGGGAUUACCUCAGUAACGGCGAGUGAAGCGGUAACAGCUCAAAUUUGAAAGCUAGCUCUUUUAGGGUUCGCAUUGUAAUUUGUAGAAGAUGCUUCGGGUGUGGCCCCGGUCUAAGUUCCUUGGAACAGGACGUCAUAGAGGGUGAGAAUCCCGUAUGUGACUGGGUGCUUUCGCUCAUGUGAAGCUCUUUCGACGAGUCGAGUUGUUUGGGAAUGCAGCUCAAAAUGGGUGGUAAAUUUCAUCUAAAGCUAAAUAUUGGCCAGAGACCGAUAGCGCACAAGUAGAGUGAUCGAAAGAUGAAAAGCACUUUGGAAAGAGAGUUAAACAGUACGUGAAAUUGUUGAAAGGGAAGCGCUUGCAACCAGACUUGCGCGCUGAUGAUCAUCCGGGCUUCUGUCCGGUGCACUCGUCUGCGCUCAGGCCAGCAUCGGUUUCGGUGGUGGGAUAAAGGCCUUGGGAAUGUAGCUUCUUUCGGGGAGUGUUAUAGCCCUCGGUGCAAUGCCGCCUACCGGGACCGAGGACCGCGCUUCGGCUAGGAUGCUGGCGUAAUGGUUGUAAGCGACCCGUCUUGAAACACGGACCAAGGAGUCUAACAUCUAUGCGAGUGUUUGGGUGUCAAACCCAUACGCGUAAUGAAAGUGAACGGAGGUGAGAACCCUUAAGGGUGCAUCAUCGACCGAUCCUGAUGUCUUCGGAUGGAUUUGAGUAAGAGCAUAGCUGUUGGGACCCGAAAGAUGGUGAACUAUGCGUGAAUAGGGUGAAGCCAGAGGAAACUCUGGUGGAGGCUCGCAGCGGUUCUGACGUGCAAAUCGAUCGUCAAAUUUGCGUAUAGGGGCGAAAGACUAAUCGAACCAU